rnacentral:rRNA from 1 species
UACGGAGGAUGCAAGCGUUAUCCGGAAUGAUUGGGCGUAAAGCGUCCGCAGGUGGCUAUGUAAGUCUGCUGUUAAAGAGUCUAGCUCAACUAGAUAAGAGCAGUGGAAACUACAAGGCUAGAGUACGUUCGGGGCAGAGGGAAUUCCUGGUGUAGCGGUGAAAUGCGUAGAGAUCAGGAAGAACACCAGUGGCGAAGGCGCUCUGCUAGGCCGUAACUGACACUGAGGGACGAAAGCUAGGGAAGCGAAUGGG